rnacentral:rRNA from 1 species
UACGUAGGGUGCGAGCGUUGUUCGGAAUUACUGGGCGUAAAGCGUGCGCAGGCGGCUUCUCAAGUCAGGGGUGAAAGCCCAGAGCUCAACUCUGGAAUUGCCUUUGAGACUGAGUGGCUUGAGUACGAGAGAGGUGAGUGGAAUUCCCAGUGUAGAGGUGAAAUUCGUAGAUAUUGGGAAGAACACCGGUGGCGAAGGCGGCUCACUGGCUCGUAACUGACGCUCAUGCACGACAUCGUGGGGAUCAAACAGG